rnacentral:misc_RNA from 1 species
GAUGAAGAACGUAGCGAAAUGCGAUACUUGGUGUGAAUUGCAGAAUCCCGUGAACCAUCGAGUCUUUGAACGCAAGUUGCGCCCGAAGCCUCGGCUAAGGGCACGUCUGCCUGGGCGUCACACAUCGCGUCUCCCCCAAACCGCCAAGGCGGAGGGGAAGGAAGAUGGCUUCCCGUGCCUCACCCGGCGCGGUUGGCCUAAAUUUGGAGCCCGCGGCACUUAGCUCACGCGGCGAUAGGUGGUGAACAAGGCCUUGGCCGUGCAAACAACCCGCUGCGAAGCUCUAUGUCACGUGCGCUCGUCGGACCCUUUGAAGUUGCCUUCGGUGACUUAAAACCUUUGCGACCCCAGGUCAGGCGGGGCUACCCGCUGAAUUUAAGCAUAUCAAUAAGCGGAGGA